AUUCCUCCACUCGACCGCUUUGCUGCGUGUCGGGCUGGGACGUUGGGGGUGUUUUGCAGGUCCCCUUUCGAGGUCUGCUCCCCUUGAAUGCAUUAGUGAGGUUCGGCGCUCGGCCUCGACGUGAUAAAGUCUAUCUACGUCGUGUCCGGUGCUUUGUUUGUCCUGGUCAGCCAGGGAAAACGGGACUUUGCUUCCAACCGUCUUCGGACAACCGUGCGCUUGCGCACACCUUCGA
rnacentral:misc_RNA from 1 species